rnacentral:rRNA from 1 species
GGGGUGAAAGGCCAAUCAAACUUGGAGAUAGCUCGUACUCCCCGAAAUAUAUUUAGGUAUAGCGUCUGGUUUUGUCUCACUGGAGGUAGAGCACUGAUUAGGCUAGGGCCCUUCACCGGGUACCAACCCUAGACAAACUCCGAAUACCAGUGAUGAGCCGCCAGGCAGUCAGUCGCAGGGUGAUAACGUCCUGUGGCGAGAGGGGAACAACCCAGACCACCAGCUAAGGUCCCUAAAUACCGACUAAGUUGAUCAAAGAAAGUUGAGUUGCUCAGACAACUAGGAGGUUGGCUUAGAAGCAGCCAUUCCUUUAAAGAG